UACAGAGGUCUCAAGCGUUGUUCGGAUUCAUUGGGCGUAAAGGGUGCGUAGGCGGCGCGGUAAGUCGGGUGUGAAAUCUCGGAGCUUAACUCCGAAACUGCAUUCGAUACUGCCGUGCUUGAGGACUGGAGAGGAGACUGGAAUUUACGGUGUAGCGGUGAAAUGCGUAGAUAUUGUAAGGAAGACCAGUGGCGAAGGCGGGUCUCUGGACAGUUCCUGACACUGAGGCACGAAGGCCAGGGGAGCAAACGGG
rnacentral:rRNA from 1 species